UACGUAGGUGGCAAGCGUUGUCCGGAAUUAUUGGGCGUAAAGCGCGCGCAGGCGGUUUCUUAAGUCUGAUGUGAAAGCCCCCGGCUCAACCGGGGAGGGUCAUUGGAAACUGGGAAACUUGAGUGCAGGAGAGAAGAGCGGAAUUCCACGUGUAGCGGUGAAAUGCGUAGAGAUGUGGAGGAACACCAGUGGCGAAGGCGGCCAUCUGGGACAACACUGACGCUCAGGCACGAAAGCGUGGGGAGCAAACAGG
rnacentral:rRNA from 1 species